rnacentral:hammerhead_ribozyme from 1 species
CUACUGCUGAAGAGUCCCAAACUAGGACGAAACAGGUGUCCAAUAC